GAUGAACGCUGGCGGCGUGCCUAAUACAUGCAAGUCGAGCGAACAGACGAGGAGCUUGCUCCUCUGACGUUAGCGGCGGACGGGUGAGUAACACGUGGAUAACCUACCUAUAAGACUGGGAUAACUUCGGGAAACCGGAGCUAAUACCGGAUAAUAUAUUGAACCGCAUGGUUCAAUAGUGAAAGACGGUUUUGCUGUCACUUAUAGAUGGAUCCGCGCCGCAUUAGCUAGUUGGUAAGGUGACGGCUUACCAAGGCAACGAUGCGUAGCCGACCUGAGAGGGUGAUCGGCCACACUGGAACUGAGACACGGUCCAGACUCCUACGGGAGGCAGCAGUAGGGAAUCUUCCGCAAUGGGCGAAAGCCUGACGGAGCAACGCCGCGUGAGUGAUGAAGGUCCUCGGAUCGUAAAACUCUGUUAUUAGGGAAGAACAAAUGUGUAAGUAACUAUGCACGUCUUGACGGUACCUAAUCAGAAAGCCACGGCUAACUACGUG
rnacentral:rRNA from 1 species